UAGGGAAUCUUCCACAAUGGACGCAAGUCUGAUGGAGCAACGCCGCGUGAGUGAAGAAGGGUUUCGGCUCGUAAAGCUCUGUUGGUAGUGAAGAAAGAUAGAGGUAGUAACUGGCCUUUAUUUGACGGUAAUUACUUAGAAAGUCACGGCUAACUACGUGCCAGCAGCCGCGGUAAUACGUAGGUGGCAAGCGUUGUCCGGAUUUAUUGGGCGUAAAGCGAGUGCAGGCGGUUCAAUAAGUCUGAUGUGAAAGCCUUCGGCUCAACCGGAGAAUUGCAUCAGAAACUGUUGAACUUGAGUGCAGAAGAGGAGAGUGGAACUCCAUGUGUAGCGGUGGAAUGCGUAGAUAUAUGGAAGAACACCAGUGGCGAAGGCGGCUCUCUGGUCUGCAACUGACGCUGAGGCUCGAAAGCAUGGGUAGCGAACAGGAUUAGAUACCCUGGUAGUCCAUGCCGUAAACGAUGAGUGCUAGGUGUUGGAGGGUUUCCGCCCUUCAGUGCCGGAGCUAACGCAUUAAGCACUCCGCCUGGGGAGUACGACCGCAAGGUU
rnacentral:rRNA from 1 species